CUCGUGAAUUCAUCUCCGGGGGUAGAGCACUGUUUCGGCUAGGGGGCCAUCCCGGCUUACCAACCCGAUGCAAACUGCGAAUACCGGAGAAUGUUAUCACGGGAGACACACGGCGGGUGCUAACGUCCGUCGUGAAGAGGGAAACAACCCAGACCGCCAGCUAAGGUCCCAAAGUCAUGGUUAAGUGGGAAACGAUGUGGGAAGGCCCAGACAGCCAGGAUGUUGGCUUAGAAGCAGCCAUCAUUUAAAGAAAGCGUAAUAGCUCACUGGUCGAGUCGGCCUGCGCGGAAGAUGUAACGGGGCUAAACCAUGCACCGAAGCUGCGGCAGCGACACUGUGUGUUGUUGGGUAGGGGAGCGUUCUGUAAGCCUGUGAAGGUGUGUCGUGAGGCAUGCUGGAGGUAUCAGAAGUGCGAAUGCUGACAUAAGUAACGAUAAAGCGGGUGAAAAGCCCGCUCGCCGGAAGACCAAGGGUUCCUGUCCAACGUUAAUCGGGGCAGGGUGAGUCGACCCCUAAGGCGAGGCCGAAAGGCGUAGUCGAUGGGAAACGGGUUAAUAUUCCCGUACUUGGUGUUACUGCGAAGGGGGGACGGAGAAGGCUAUGUUGGCCGGGCGACGGUUGUCCCGGUUUAAGCGUGUAGGUGUGUGUUCCAGGUAAAUCCGGUUCACUUUAACACUGAGGCGUGACGACGAGGCACUACGGUGCUGAAGCAACAAAUGCCCUGCUUCCAGGAAAAGCCUCUAAGCAUCAGGUAACAUCAAAUCGUACCCCAAACCGACACAGGUGGUCAGGUAGAGAAUACCAAGGCGCUUGAGAGAACUCGGGUGAAGGAACUAGGCAAAAUGGUGCCGUAACUUCGGGAGAAGGCACGCUGACACGUAGGUGAAGUGAUUUACUCAUGGAGCUGAAGUCAGUCGAAGAUACCAGCUGGCUGCAACUGUUUAUUAAAAACACAGCACUGUGCAAACACGAAAGUGGACGUAUACGGUGUGACGCCUGCCCGGUGCCGGAAGGUUAAUUGAUGGGGUCAGCGCAAGCGAAGCUCCUGAUCGAAGCCCCGGUAAACGGCGGCCGUAACUAUAACGGUCCUAAGGUAGCGAAAUUCCUUGUCGGGUAAGUUCCGACCUGCACGAAUGGCGUAAUGAUGGCCAGGCUGUCUCCACCCGAGACUCAGUGAAAUUGAACUCGCUGUGAAGAUGCAGUGUACCCGCGGCAAGACGGAAAGACCCCGUGAACCUUUACUAUAGCUUGACACUGAACAUUGAGCCUUGAUGUGUAGGAUAGGUGGGAGGCUUUGAAGUGUGGACGCCAGUCUGCAUGGAGCCGACCUUGAAAUACCACCCUUUAAUGUUUGAUGUUCUAACGUGGACCCGUUACCCGGGUUGCGGACAGUGUCUGGUGGGUAGUUUGACUGGGGCGGUCUCCUCCUAAAGAGUAACGGAGGAGCACGAAGGUUGGCUAAUCCUGGUCGGACAUCAGGAGGUUAGUGCAAUGGCAUAAGCCAGCUUGACUGCGAGCGUGACGGCGCGAGCAGGUGCGAAAGCAGGUCAUAGUGAUCCGGUGGUUCUGAAUGGAAGGGCCAUCGCUCAACGGAUAAAAGGUACUCCGGGGAUAACAGGCUGAUACCGCCCAAGAGUUCAUAUCGACGGCGGUGUUUGGCACCUCGAUGUCGGCUCAUCACAUCCUGGGGCUGAAGUAGGUCCCAAGGGUAUGGCUGUUCGCCAUUUAAAGUGGUACGCGAGCUGGGUUUAGAACGUCGUGAGACAGUUCGGUCCCUAUCUGCCGUGGGCGCUGGAGAACUGAGGGGGGCUGCUCCUAGUACGAGAGGACCGGAGUGGACGCAUCACUGGUGUUCGGGUUGUCAUGCCAAUGGCACUGCCCGGUAGCUAAAUGCGGAAGAGAUAAGUGCUGAAAGCAUCUAAGCACGAAACUUGCCCCGA
rnacentral:rRNA from 2 species